CCUACGGGCGGCAGCAGUGAGGAAUAUUGGUCAAUGGACGAGAGUCUGAACCAGCCAAGUAGCGUGAAGGAUGACUGCCCUAUGGGUUGUAAACUUCUUUUAUAUGGGAAUAAAACAGGGUAUGCAUACCCUCUUGUAUGUACCAUAUGAAUAAGGAUCGGCUAACUCCGUGCCAGCAGCCGCGGUAAUACGGAGGAUCCGAGCGUUAUCCGGAUUUAUUGGGUUUAAAGGGAGCGUAGGUGGAUUGUUAAGUCAGUUGUGAAAGUUUGCGGCUCAACCGUAAAAUUGCAGUUGAAACUGGCAGUCGUGAGUACAGUAGAGGUGGGCGGAAUUCGUGGUGUAGCGGUGAAAUUCUUAGAUAUCACGAAGAACUCCGAUUGUGAAGGCAGCUCACUGGACUGCAACUGACACUGAUGCUCGAAAGUGUGGGUAUCAAACAGGAUUAGAUACCCGAGUAGUC
rnacentral:rRNA from 1 species